AGGCAGAGGAGGCGCCGAGAGCGAGCGAGGGCUGUGAGGACUGCCGGCACACUGUCACCUCUCAGUCUAAGAUCAACCCUAAUUGAAAAUACUAUAUUUUGAAGGGUCACGUUUCUCUUUAGAUUACACACAGCGUCUUGUGAUACUGCCUCUGGUCAGCUGAUUUCUCCUUGCCUCAUUCCAACUUCUUUUGUCAGAAAAUUCUUCAAUAUUGCCACAUUCUUUCACAAUAAUAUGGAUGAAAGAUAUCUCACCAGCACAAGGGAGGUGGGAAGAGAACAUGGAAGUCAAGCACCUUUUUAAAAGAUUUGAAAUGGAAGCCGUGCACAUGACUGUGGAUCAUACCUCUCAUUCAUGGCCACAUACAGCUGCAAGUCUCUACGCUUAUGGCCGUACAGCUCAGCCAAAAGGGGUGUAUGUGGGAAGUUCUGUUAAUAAAAAGAGGAAGGGGAGAAUAAAUAAUAGUAGGGGACAAUAACAUUCAAUUUAAUAUAUACAUUGAAUCAAGGAAUACUUCACCACAAUAACCACUAAAAGAUAUACACACACGCACACAUACCCACACACAUACUACUACUAUCGAUGUCUAUCUAUAUAAGAUAUAUAUAUAUUAUAUCAUAUAUAAAUAUAUAUCUUAGCUGAAAGUAAAGGGAAAUAUCCUAAAGCACUGCUCAGUUCUGUGACUACCCUAAGCACUUUUUAUAGACAGAGAGAGGAUCUCAGAAGACUAAGACUAGCAUGAUGUUUAAAAGGCAAACCAAAUAUAUGGAACUAGAAUAAAAACUUAUUUUGAAAAGACACAGCUAAAUAUUCUCAUGUAAACU
rnacentral:lncRNA from 1 species